rnacentral:rRNA from 1 species
GACGAAGGAUGCAAGCGUUAUCCGGAUUCAUUGGGUUUAAAGGGAGCGUAGGUGGCCUUAUAAGUCAGUGGUGAAAUCUCUCGGCUUAACUGAGAAAUUGCCAUUGAUACUGUAGGGCUUGAGUACAGAUGCCGUUGGCGGAAUAUGACAUGUAGUGGUGAAAUACAUAGAGAUGUCAUAGAACACCGAUUGCGAAGGCAGCUGACGAAACUGUAACUGACGCUGAGGCGCGAAAGCCAGGGGAGCGAACGGG